GCUCGCUUCAGCAGAACGUACGCUAAAAUUGGACCAAUACAGAGAAGAUUAGCCUGGCCCCUGCUAGGCUAAUCUUCACAAGGAUGACAUAGAAAUUCGU
rnacentral:snRNA from 1 species